UACGGAGGUUGGAAGCGUUAUCCGGAUUCAUUGGGUUUAAAGGGUGCGUAGGCGGGACGGUAAGUCAGUGGUGAAAGCCUGCAGCUUAACUGUAGAAUUGCCAUUGAUACUGCUGUUCUUGAGUGCAGCUGAGGUGGGCGGAAUGUGUAGUGUAGCGGUGAAAUGCUUAGAUAUUACACAGAACACCGAUUGCGAAGGCAGCUCACUAAACUGUAACUGACGCUGAGGCACGAAAGCGUGGGGAGCAAACAGG
rnacentral:rRNA from 1 species